rnacentral:lncRNA from 1 species
UAUCUUCAAUUACAUUAAUAGCACAACAAGAACGAACAUCAUUAGUAUUCUCAACCGAUUCAGAAAUCUUAAAGUUAAUCAUAUCACCACCAAAGGCCAUAGUUACUGCUCCCUUGGUCACGUCAAUCUUGGUUUGAGCCGUUUUCAUAAAUGGUCGUCCAAGUAAGAGUGGUGAUGGUGGAGAGUGGGUUGAGUCCUCCAUAUCAAGCACAUAGAAAUCUGCAGGAAACAUCAAGUGGUCUGAUAGGAGCAUAUUUAUGCCACUUAGUUAGCUUGUUCUUGUGCAUUUACGUUGUUAGUUCGUAGUUAUUUUAGUAUUUUAAGCUAUUUUCGUGUGUUUGUAGGUCCAAUGGUUUAAAGUGGCAAAGAAGUGUAUUUUGGAGCCUUUUGGAGCAGUUUUGAGCAUCAAAUGGAUUGCACAUGUUUGGAGCUAAGAAGAUGGACGAAAUUGAAGAUCAAAUGAGCUUAGGAUUGAAUGAAGAUGUGAAGAAUUGGAUUCAAGACAAAUGAAGAAUGAUGAGUUCAAAAUUGGAAGCCAAAGUUUCUGAAGUUGGAAGUUUCUAUUCUUGGAGGUUUCCAUUUGUGAAGGUUUCCAUCUUUGGCUCUACACUUUCCUAAUCCUAAGUCACAUAUGUUCCAGCCACAAAAGGGGUUCCUAAAUCAUUUAGGACACUUAAUUAUAUGAUUUUAGGAGACCUAGACCUAUCCCUAAUCCUUGCCGCACAUGGGAUCCUCUCCUUUCCUAUUUUUCUGAUUUUAAUUCACAUUCCCCUUUUGUUUCUUCCAUCCUUGCUGCACCCUACCUCAUCUCCUUACCUAUUUUCUGACGCAAAAUUACAUUCCCCUUUGUUCUAAAGCCUUGCCACACAAGGGGAGAGGUUCUUACCUAUUUUGUGACCCAAAACACAUUCCUAAAAUCUGCCCUAAAAUCUUUGCCGAAUUUCCCUUCUUUUUCUCUUUAGUUCCUGCACUUACCUUCCCUUUUUCCUUCAAAUUUCUGACCUCUAUUCACUUUCCUUUUCUCUGCCACAAUUAUUUACCUCUUUUCCUUUUCUCUGCUACGAAUUUGAAGUAGUUUUAGGGAAGGAUUCAACUUCACCUACUUGUGCCGUGGGUUCCUCUUCCUCAAUCUCAACUUCGGCUUCUGAAUUUGAAAUUGAUUUACUAGGUUCUGGAUUCUUCCUUUUUCGUCUCAACUCUCGUUCAAAAUCGUCGUCAAAGUCCAAGAUGUGUUCACGAACCGGAUGAGAGCUCCGAGUCAUAAACUAGUACCUAAAACAAGAAACAAAAACAAAGUAAAAAUCUGGAAUCACUUAAAACAAAUUGAAAGAAAACAAUCCAAGGGAUUAGCAACUUUGCUAAUCCCCGGCAACGGCGCCAAAAUUUGAUGUGAAAAUUAUGUGGACACUCAAAUUAACCCUCUUUUUAUCAAUUGUAGCAAAGUAUGUAAGUAGGGAUCGUUCUAAACCGGGGAUUAGGAGAGAUUGCAAAAUCACUUGAAAACUGACUCAAAUACGUAAAAACAAGUUUAAAACACUAAACUAGACUCAAAGAA